rnacentral:lncRNA from 1 species
UCUCUUAGAAGCCUCUUGCAUUUUUUCCGACUCCCUUUUUGAUCCACUAGCCAUGUCAAACUGUGGAGUUGUUUCCAUUAUUUUAGGCUUCUUUUCUUCUGUGGUUUGUGUUGUUUUUCCCUUCUCUCUUUUGAGUGUGGAAGUAUCUUUAGUUUCCUCACUCUUUUCAAUCUUUGACCCUUUUGUUCUCUUCACAACUUUUUCUUCUUCUAGAGUCUUUUGUCUUUGAAAACUAGGCACAUCAAGUACUUCUUCUUGCCCAUCAAGGAUCUGUGGCUGCAAACUAUCAAUUUUUUCAGUCCCCACAAUGUUUAACUUUGGUGAUUCUUUUUCUUCU